GACGAACGCUGGCGGCGUGCUUAACACAUGCAAGUCGAACGGAAAGGCCCUGCUUUUGUGGGGUGCUCGAGUGGCGAACGGGUGAGUAACACGUGAGUAACCUGCCCUUGACUUUGGGAUAACUUCAGGAAACUUGGGCUAAUACCGGAUAGGAGCUCCUGCUGCAUGGUGGGGGUUGGAAAGUUUCGGCUGUUGGGGAUGGACUCGCGGCUUAUCAGCUUGUUGGUUGGGUAGUGGCUUACCAAGGCUUUGACGGGUAGCCGGCAUGAGAGGGUGACCGGGGAAAAUGGGACUGAGAUACGGAACAGAAUACAACGGGAGGAAGCAGGGGGGAAUAUUGCACAAUGGGAGGAAGACUGAGGAAGAAACGCAGCGUGCGGGAUGACGGCCUUCGGGUUGUAAACCGAUUUAGAAUGUGAAGAAGAGUGAGUGACGGUAAUGGGUAAAGAAGCACCGGCUAACUACGUG
rnacentral:rRNA from 1 species